GGGCCGUUAGCUCAGCCUGGUUAGAGCGCCUGCUCGACACGCAGGAGGUCAGAGGUUCAAAUCCCCUACGGCCCA
rnacentral:tRNA from 2 species